UGAAGGUUGCUGGAGCGAAUAAAUAUAAAAUCCCUCACAUAAACAAAGAAAGACUAGAGACACUAGGACAGCUUCCAUUGCAAAUUGCUUGUGAGGCAACCAUAGUUGACCAGGCAAAGGCAAUUCUCGCUGCAGCAAACAAUUAGGAGAAGAAGAUUAGAACUAGGCAAUGACUAGGGUUAGUUCAUGGGACAUGUAACAAUUUCUGUACUUACCCUAUGUAUCAGUCUUGUUUGCCUCUUGUUCCUUUAACUCUUGCAUCUUUGGACUGAGUUCAUCCACCUGCUUCUGGACAUGGUCUGGUAAAAUGAUUGUCUC
rnacentral:lncRNA from 1 species